UACGGAGGGUGCAAACGUUGCUCGGAAUUACUGGGCGUAAAGCGUGCGCAGGCGGUUUUGUAAGCCAGAUGUGAAAUCCCCGGGCUUAACCUGGGAAUGGCAUUUGGGACUGCAAGGCUGGAGUGCGGCAGAGGAGACUGGAAUUCCUGGUGUAGCAGUGAAAUGCGUAGAUAUCAGGAGGAAUACCGAUGGCGAAGGCAGGUCUCUGGGCUGACACUGACGCUCAUGCACGAAAGCGUGGGGAGCAAACAGG
rnacentral:rRNA from 1 species